UACGGGGGGGGGCAAGCGUUGUCCGGAAUUACUGGGCGUAAAGCGCACGUAGGCGGAUACUUAAGUCAGGGGUGAAAUCCCGGGGCUCAACCCCGGAACUGCCUUUGAUACUGGGUAUCUCGAGUCCGGAAGAGGUGAGUGGAAUUCCGAGCGUAGAGGUGAAAUUCGUAGAUAUUCGGAGGAACACCAGUGGCGAAGGCGGCUCACUGGUCCGGUACUGACGCUGAGGUGCGAAAGCGUGGGGAGUAAACAGG
rnacentral:rRNA from 1 species